CAUUGUGCAAUUAAAAUUUAAAUACUUUUUUUAUAUCAAUAAAAUUUUAUCUUUUGUUUAGAAUUCGACAUUACUUUUGUUCAAAAUUACAUUACGUCUAUGAUGAUCCUAUCCUUUUAACGUACCUUACAUAUUUUACAUUUUAUAUUUUUUUCUCUUUCAUUGUGUUUGAUCUUUCAUUUGCAUUAUUCCUUCCUUUUUAAAUUGCGUAGAUCCAGACGGUAAUCAAAAGAAGAAACGUUCAUCGUCUGCUACUCUUAGCUUAUUACUCUGGCCUUGAGAAUAAAACGCACUGAUUUUUCGGGACAAAAGCGAAGCGAGUACUUUGUGUAGGGUUAAUAUCCCAGGGAGUAACUCUACCGUAUAAUAAUCGUCAUGGUCGCAAAUUAAUGAAAGAGACGCUGCCGAUUGAUCUUCGCCAGAAUAGUAGGCUCUCUCGAUAUCGCUGCGUGCACAUUAAAGUCUACGGAUCUACUAAUUUUGCCCCCGAAAAAAAAAAAACAGCGGCGAAUGAUUAUCGGAAAUGUGUAUGAAUAUGAAUUGAAUACAGUUUCAUCUUAUAUAUUCUUGAGCAAAAAAUCUUUCUUACUUCUUAAAAAAAUGUCAAUCAUACGAUUAAUCACGUGAUCGGUUAGAAAACAGACAUUUUAUCGAACCUGCAACAACGUGAAAAGUGCACCAAUCCAAAACGACUCAUCCUGACGUUAAAAAAAAAGUAUAUUAACACGGUAAAAUCAUUGCAGUAACGUGUUGUGAAAUCUUUCCAUUUUCUCCCAGUUAAAUCAUCCGAUUUGGUAAUCACGUAGCCAAGAAAAGUAAAAGUCCACAAAGUAUCUAAAAAGACCUUUGAAAGACGUUUGCAGAUUAGGACGUCUCUUUGACAUCUCUGAAUCCACCCCCCCCCCCCUCGUGUCUUACGAACGGAACGGCAAAGAGCCUCUGCUCGCUCGAAUGACAAACCAUCGUCGUUUAUCUUUCACCGCUUUCGUCGCUUCGUCUCGACAGCACGUCGGAAAGGUCUGAAGAAAAUUCCCUGAAACUCCACGGACAAAUAACAUUGCGUCGACGGCGUGCUCGUUAAACGCCCGUUUUUCAAGCCGCGAGACGGACGGACGGCUUCGACCGCCACCGCGCACUACGACCGCUCGACCGGUGAAGCGGGUUUUAAUAUGCCGACUGUACUUUCGCUAAAGUUCGCUUACGCUGCGCAACAAAGGGCUGAAAAUCCAUAUCCGUUUUCUUCCCUCUCGCCAGGUCGUCGCGCCGACAAUCCGGAAAACGGCUCCCGCCGAGCCGACUCGUCGUCUCGUUUCGCGCGAUUCAUAGUCCAAGAUUAUAAUUGGCCGUAAAAAAAGUCCGAGGAGAUCUUCACGAUGGCGUGAAAAAAAAAAGUACUCGUUAUAUUUUAUAUUGAACCAUUUUGCAUGGAUCGAUUUUCAUCACGGUCACUAUUGCUAAGACAACGAUUCCAACGUGAGAUUUCCAAUAAAGAUCUAUUUAUUUUUUUUCGAGCAAGGUAUUGAUAUCAAUUCGUCGUGCAUCAUUAAAUCAUUGGUUUUAGGCUUUCUGAUCAAAUAUGAGUGAAAUCCGAUUAAUCAGACUGGCGAGAGAUAACCCCCCCCCAAAAAAACAAAAAAUAAAGGACAUAACAAUUGGAUAACGGCGGGUAUUAUUUAGAUUUGUUCUGGAAAAUGUAUCGAUAUUAUGUAAGGUUUCAUCGUUUUUUCAUCUACCAACCAGCGAAAUAUAAGCUAACUUGUGCAAGAGGGCUUUUCUCUCGUCGUCGUAUUAUUCCGCGUUCGAGAGUUUUCCCUGAAAUGUUUCACGGUAUUCAUCGUGAGUGCGGUUCGAGCACUUGGACGUUUGUCGCAGGCGCGCGCGAGCAUAUUCCUCCCCUCGGGAUCGAAAUCUUUUCCGAAGAUUGGCCGUACGAUGCGCGCGUCCUUAAACGAGGAGGCUCCUCGAGGUAUCUUUCGGACGUAUACGCAGGCGAGAGAAUCAAUACUUUCCUUCAACUCCGCGGAACCGGAGUAAACAGCGGGGUAUACGUGCGGAGAUGGCAUACGUGUGCGCGAGAGCUUUGCGCUGGCACGCGGCUUUAAAAACGAAGAGGACAGUCUCCGGAAACGUGUCGCGAAUAGUAAAGCUCUCUGUCGGAGAUAGCUCGACGGAGGCGAAAAUUUGAAUGCGAUAGCCUCGAGUGGCGUUGUAUCCCUCAAGUGUACUCGGCAAACUUUUCGUGAGCGGCGCGGCGGCUUCCUUUCGUGUUGGCAAAUAUGAGACGUCACUGUUGCACCUUCGACGUUCCCCCGAUUGUUCCAUGGUACUCCACCGCGCGCGCGCGCGUUUAGACGUUUCUCUUCUUUCGCGCACCGCGGAGACAAGUCGAGAGUUUUACGGUGCUCGAGAGCUCGAUCCGCUGCGGCUUCUGCUCCCUGUUUUUCGUGUCGUGGAGGUCGAACGAUCGACCGACCACCGGUGGUCUCCGCGAGGUAUCGGUAAGGUAAGGCGACCGUGUAAUCUAUAGCGGCCAGAUGUAUCGAUUAUCUUGUGACCCGAUUCCGACUGGAUAUCGAGUUCCUGGGUUGGCAUAUAGAAUUGCCGCGUCCCACCGUUGCACGCACUCAUACGCGUGCGCCGGCAGCUAUGGACUGUUCCACGUGCAAGGGUGGAGGAGAUCCUGGAAAGUCGAGCUGUUCCUCUCGUCCGCGCGCGGAUGUACUUACGGAUGUACGCGUCCGGCAGGAUCGCUCGCAUUAGGGAAGACGUUUCGUUGCAACAAGUAAUCCGAUUAAAAUGCUCUGUUGUGCUGUUCGAAAUCGUUUCCUUCGAAAUGUCAAAUUCAACACCAUCUUACGAUUUAUAAAUUCUGUGUAUUGACUUGAAGUGCUGCUAUUAUGCUUUAAAGCCAGUUGGGUGCACCUGAACGAAAGUUUCACACGGUUCUAGCGGUACCAAUCGCGUUCUUUUAAUAUUUCAUCAAAUUCUAAAUCUUCUCUCGCGCGCGCUAAAGACUUUCUGUCGCGCUUACAUGUUUUAUGUAUUUUAUCACGGAGCUACGUUCGCGUGUGUACUUUUCUUUUACCUCUCUCUACUGUAUUUAUACAAUUUAGAUAAAUAAAUACAAAAAGAUGUGUAGAAUAAAAGAAUUGUUAAUCCCAAUAAAUCUCAAUAAAACGAAUUCUUUUCUA
rnacentral:lncRNA from 1 species